GCAGAAGGUCUUGAUGGUAAGGUAUGUCUUUUUGCUGAUGAUACUAAGAUAUGUAACAGGGUUGAAGUUCCAGGAGGGAUAAGCCAAAUGGCAAAUGAUUUAGGUAAACUAGAAAAAUGUACAGAAUUGUGGCAACUGACAUUUAAUGUGGAUAAGUGCAAGAUAAUGCAUCUUGGAUGUAAAAACCCAAGGGCAGAGUAAAGAAUAUUUGAUAGAGUCCUAACCUCAACAUCUCAGGAAAGGGAUUUAGGGGCAGGGCCGGAUUAACAUAGGGGCUGAUGGAAUAGGC